rnacentral:rRNA from 1 species
AAGCUCGUAGUUGAAUUUCGGGAUCAAAUUGUCGGUCGUGCCUCGGUACGUACUGGCGUUAUUGGUUCCUCCCUUCUGAAGAACCGCGAUGUCAUUAAUUUGGUGUCGCGGGGAAUCAGGACUGUUACUUUGAAAAAAUUAGAGUGUUUAAAGCAGGCUCGCGCUUGAAUACAUUAGCAUGGAAUAAUGAAAUAGGACGUUUGAUUCUAUUUUGUUGGUUUCUAGGAUCGACGUAAUGAUUAAUAGGGAUAGUUGGGGGCAUUAGUAUUCAAUUGUCAGAGGUGAAAUUCUUGGAUUUAUUGAAGACUAACUACUGCGAAAGCAUUUGCCAAGGAUGUUUUCAUUAAUCAAGAACGAAAGUUAGGGGAUCGAAGACGAUCAGAUACCGUCGUAGUCUUAACCAUAAACUAUGCCGACUAGGGAUCGGAUGAUGUUAAUUUUUUAAUGACUCAUUCGGCGCCUUACGGGAAACCAAAGUGUUUGGGUUCCGGGGGGAGUAUGGUCGCAAGGCUGAAACUUAAAGGAAUUGACGGAAGGGCACCACCAGGGGUGGAGCCUGCGGCUUAAUUUGACUCAACACGGGGAAACUCACCAGGUCCAGACAUAGUAAGGAUUGACAGAUUGAGAGCUCUUUCUUGAUUCUAUGGGUG